UUCCGGUUGAUCCUGCCGGAAGCCACCGCUAUCGGGGUCCGACUAAGCCAUGCAAGUCGAGGGCCGCCCGGCUAUGGGGGCGGCCCGGCGGACGGCUCAGUAACACGUGGGUAACCUACCCUCGGGACGGGGAUAGCCCCAGGGAAACUGGGGCUAAUCCCCGAUAGGCGGGGCGGCCUGGAACGGUCCUCCGCCGAAAGGGGCCCGGGCCCAUGCCGCCCGGGUCCGCCCGAGGAUGGGCCUGCGGCCGAUUAGGUAGUUGGCGGGGUAACGGCCCGCCAAGCCGAUAAUCGGUACGGGCGGUGAGAGCCGGAGCCCGGAGACGGGGACUGAGACAAGGCCCCGGGCCCUACGGGGCGCAGCAGGCGCGAAACCUCCGCAAUGCGGGCAACCGCGACGGGGGGACCCCGAGUGCCGUCGGGGCAAAGCUCCGGCGGCUGUACCGGGGUGUAAAAAGCCCCGGGUAGAAAGCGGCGGGCAAGACCGCUGCCAGCCGCCGCGGUAAUAGCGGCGCCGCAAGUGGUGGCCGCUUUUAUUGGGCCUAAAGGGGCCGUAGCCGGUCCCGUGGGUCCCCGCCGAAAGCCCGCGGCUUAACCGCGGGAGUCGGCGGGGAAACUGCGGGACUUGGGACCGGGAGAGGCCGGAGGUACCCCGGAGUAGGGGUGAAAUCCUGUCAUCCCGGGGGGACCGCCAGUGGCGAAGGCGUCCGGCUGGAACGGGUCCGACGGUGAGGGCCGAAAGCCGGGGGAGCAAACCGGAUUAGAUACCCGGGUAGUCCCGGCUGUAAACGAUGCGGACUAGGUGUUGGGGCGGCCACGAGCCGCCCCAGUGCCGUAGGGAAGCCGUUAAGUCCGCCGCCUGGGGAGUACGGCCGCAAGGCUGAAACUUAAAGGAAUUGGCGGGGGAGCACCACAACCGGUGGAGCCUGCGGUUUAAUUGGAUUCAACGCCGGAAACCUUACCGGGGGCGACAGCAGGAUGAAGGCCAGGUUGACGACCUUGCCGGACGAGCUGAGAGGAGGUGCAUGGCCGCCGUCAGCUCGUGCCGUGAGGUGUCCUGUUAAGUCAGGCAACGAGCGAGACCCA
rnacentral:rRNA from 1 species